rnacentral:rRNA from 1 species
CUACGGGGGGCAGCAGUGGGGAAUAUUGCACAAUGGGCGCAAGCCUGAUGCAGCCAUGCCGCGUGUAUGAAGAAGGCCUUCGGGUUGUAAAGUACUUUCAGCGGGGAGGAAGGGAGUAAAGUUAAUACCUUUGCUCAUUGACGUUACCCGCAGAAGAAGCACCGGCUAACUCCGUGCCAGCAGCCGCGGUAAUACGGAGUGUGCAAGCGUUAAUCGGAAUUACUGGGCGUAAAGCGCACGCAGGCGGUUUGUUAAGUCAGAUGUGAAAUCCCCGGGCUCAACCUGGGAACUGCAUCUGAUACUGGCAAGCUUGAGUCUCGUAGAGGGGGGUAGAAUUCCAGGUGUAGCGGUGAAAUGCGUAGAGAUCUGGAGGAAUACCGGUGGCGAAGGCGGCCCCCUGGACGAAGACUGACGCUCAGGUGCGAAAGCGUGGGGAGCAAACAGGAUUAGAUACCCCUAUAGUC